rnacentral:rRNA from 1 species
CACGGGGGGAGCAAGCGUUGUUCGGAAUCACUGGGCGUAAAGGGCGUGUAGGCGGUCAGGUUAGUGAGAUGUGAAAUCCCUCGGCUCACCCGAGGACCGGCAUCUCAUACUGCUUGGCUUGAGUACGGGAGAGGUUGUGGGAAUUCCUGGUGUAGCGGUGAAAUGCGUAGAUAUCAGGAGGAACACCGGUGGCGAAAGCGCACAACUGGCCCGAUACUGACGCUGAUGCGCGAAAGCUAGGGGAGCAAACGGG